GGGGAGGUGGCCGAGUGGUUGAAGGCGCGCGCCUGCUAAGUGUGUAAGGGAGUAAUAUCCCUUCGAGGGUUCGAAUCCCUCCCUCUCCGCCA
rnacentral:tRNA from 1 species